rnacentral:rRNA from 1 species
UACAGAGGGUGCAAACGUUGUUCGGAUUUACUGGGCGUAAAGCGCGUGUAGGCGGCUUUGCAAGUCGGAUGUGAAAGCCCACGGCUCAACCGUGGAAGUGCAUCCGAAACUGCAUGGCUGGAGUCUCGGAGAGGAAGGUGGAAUGCUUGGUGUAGAGGUGAAAUUCGUAGAUAUCAAGCAGAACACCUGCGGCGAAAGCGGCCUACUGGACGAUGACUGACGCUGAGACGCGAAAGCGUGGGGAGCAAACAGG